rnacentral:rRNA from 1 species
GUGCUUAACACAUGCAAGUCGAGUGCGCAGCUUCCUGUAGCAAUACAGGGAGUAGGCGCACGGCGCACGGGUGCGUAACACGUGGGCAACAUGCCCUUGGAUGGGGAAUAACCCCGCGAAAGCGGGGCUAAUACCGCAUAACAUUCCUGGAACCUUGGUUUCGGGACUCAAAGCCGUAAGGCGUCCGAGGAGUGGCCCGCGCACGAUUAGCUUGUUGGCGAGGUAACGGCUCACCAAGGCGAUGAUCGUUAGCCGGUCUGAGAGGAUGGCCGGCCACACUGGAACUGAGACACGGUCCAG